AAUCAACGCUGGCGGCGUGCCUCAGACAUGCAAGUCGAACGAUUAAACUUUCCUUCGGGAAAGAUAUAAAGUGGCGCACGGGUGAGUAACACGUAGGUAAUGUACCUUUGGGUGGGGAAUAACCAUCGGAAACGAUGGCUAAUACCGCAUAAUGCAGCGGCAUCGCAAGAUGACAGUUGUUAAAGAUUUAUCGCCUAAAGAGCAGCCUGCGGCAGAUUAGGUAGNGGUAAGGUAAUGGCUUACCAAGCCUGCGAUCUGUAACCGACCUGAGAGGGUGGUCGGUCACACUGACACUGAAU
rnacentral:rRNA from 1 species